AGCAGCCGCGGUAAUUCCAGCUCCAAUAGCGUAUAUUAAAGUUGUUGCAGUUAAAAAAGCUCGUAGUUGAAUUUCGGGAUCAAUUUAUUGGUCGUGCUAUUGUACGUACUGGUAUUAUUGAUUCCUACCUUCUGACGAACCACGAUGUCAUUAAUUUGGUGUCAUGGGGAAUCAGGACUGUUACUUUGAAAAAAUUAGAGUGUUUAAAGCAGGCUCACGCUUGAAUACAUUAGCAUGGAAUAACGAAAUAGGACGUUUGAUUCUAUUUUGUUGGUUUCUAGGAUCGACGUAAUGAUUAAUAGGGAUAGUUGGGGGCAUUAAUAUUCAAUUGUCAGAGGUGAAAUUCUUGGAUUUAUUGAAGACUAACUACUGCGAAAGCAUUUGCCAAGGAUGUUUUCAUUAAUCAAGAACGAAAGUUAGGGGAUCGAAGACGAUCAGAUACCGUCGUAGUCUUAACCAUAAACUAUGCCGACUAGGGAUCGGAUGAUGUUAAUUUUUUAAUGACUCAUUCGGCGCCUUA
rnacentral:rRNA from 1 species